GAAGGGUGACCUCUGGGUGAGCCGGCGAUCAGGCUCCUCUUCUUCGCUAUGACUGUACAGAUUCAUGUGACAUUGAGGCUGGGGAGGUGGGAGGAAGGCGGGGGAAUUGGGGGAGAGGACCCGGAGGGAAGGGGGAGGGAUGAACUUUCUGCCGGGCUCGGUUUUUCACACCUUUCUCUCCCGAUGAUGCGUGAGGACGUUUUGGGAGAGAGUGACUCGGCAGGGUCCCCUCCGAGCAGGUCCCCCUCGACCUUGAAGGGACCCGUCUGGGCCGCCCGGGUCUGGGAUUGUGCCGGGUUUCAAGGACACGGGAGAUGAUCAGGACUUUGGGAGCCAACAUCUGCCUGGCUGGUGACGUCAGCAACCCCGUGUAAUCCUCUUGUACUGAAGGCAGAUGCCUUAUUUGUUUGGCUGGAGAGGCAUUAAUCCCUAAUUCUGGAGCAGCAAGCGAGGGGGAGAGACCGGACCGCUUCCUAUCCCCCGAAAGCAACUAGCGGCACUCUCCUUCUCUCCUGCUCUCCGCGGCUCCGACUGGGCGGAGGAGCCGUCAGCCCCCGGCAGGCGGCCGCACGCGGGAGCUGCGGUGCCGAGGGGGGUCGGAGCCGUCUGCCCAGUUUGCCCCCAGAUGCCCCGGCAAGCUACGGGAAAAUCUCUGGGAAGCCCAGCCCGCCGCAGGAGACCGGACGCCGCCGUAUGCAGCCGCAGCACAUCCCUCUUCGUCUCCUCUCUCUCUCCCGGGCCCUGGGGCCAAGGAAGCAAUCGAGGUCAGCCGCCCAGUUCCCGGGGUCCGGCCGUGGUCCAGCCCGCAGGGUGAUGCAAGGCGCCCGGCCGCUCUCCUUCUCCCUGGCGCGCCAUCGUCACCGAAAAGGAAUGGUCCCCGUCCUGAGCGGUGAAAGAUGGCAAAAAGCGUAAUAAUAAUAAAAAAAGCUUAGGCUGAUUUUAUUUUUUUAAAAUUAUUGUAAUGACUUCACCCCUCAUUUCCUCACUCGCCAGUUCAGUGUAGGCAGGCCAGAUGGGCUGCCCAGGCCCUCCCGGGAAAGGGGCAGGUGCGAGUGAGUUAAAUUUUUUUCCGCUUUACAAAGAAAGAUGACACGUCCUGCCCUUUCAUUUUUCAUCGCCGAAAGACCUCCCUCUCCCCCCUCCUUCCCCCGGCCGAGAGGAGCGGGGAUGCUCUGGGGGUGAGGGCUCCUCCCGCCCGCGCUCCAGGGAAGCCGCAGGACCAGGCGGACCGAGGCAGCCGGAAAGAACGGUCAUCCCCCUGAGCCAGGGAUGCCAAAUCACAGACGUCGAGUCGGGGAGAGCCAGCUCCUGUAUUUAAAAUCAUGCGAAGACGCUGGUGAAAUUAAAGCAAUCGCCUGGAAGUGUCUAAUAGGCACACGUUUAAUUUCUCUCCCUUUUUUUUUUUUAAUCCAUUAAAUACAUAUUUAACAGCUUCCUGAGCAUUGCAAACAGACCGGCUAGUCAGAAAAUUCAGCAUGAGUUAUAUGCAGCCCAAGCCAGGAUGGGACUAGGGCAGAGGCAAAUCACCGGGGGUUUUUUCGGGGAUCAGUUGCUGUUCUGCUUCCAGAGAGAGAGAGAGAGAGAGAGAGAGCGCUCUAAGGCUCUGACUCUCCGUGUUCACAGCGGACCUUGAUUUAAUGUCAUACAAUUAAGGCACGCGGUGAAUGCCAAGAGCGGAUCCUCAAAGCAGCAUGAAAGAUCUCGCUAGAACACACCAUAAAAACGUUAAUACUAAAAGUAAUAGAAAACUGAAAAGUUAAAAAAAAAAAAAAAAAAAGGAGAGACAAAGCAAUAAAGAGCUCGACAACCUGUACUCACCUAUGGAAACCGAGACUAACUAGGACUGGCGUACUGAUCGGCGCAGCCCGGUGGAGAGAUGUCACUGCCAUGGGACGGGCGCCCGCGAGGGCAGCUGUCAUCAGCAGGUAACGGGGCCGUGGGGGACUACUGGAGCGUUGGGGUAGCCGUGGUGGUUUUUCAAGGUGGUGGUGACUCGACCUCUUACUUUCUUGGGCUGAAUCAUGUAAAGUCGAUUAAUGGGAAAUAAAUACAUUUUCUAAUAUUA